rnacentral:lncRNA from 1 species
GGGCGACGCCGGAGUUGCAGUUGGAGGCUGCGGGAAUACAAAGGGGUGUCUACCUUUCAAGAGGAACAAGAAAAGAGAGGUGGGAAUAUGGAACCAAGCCAAAGAUUCUGCAGGAUCCUGCACAGUGAGCAUUGUUCUGGUUCAGGCCACUGUGCUCAACUGAACAGUAUCAGUAGCACAACAUUUGGAUGCCCUUGAAUACUGUUCCUGUUUCAAUUCAUUUGUUUGUCUGAGAAUUGGGAAUGCAUGUCUGGGCAGUGACAAGAGGCCAAAGAAAGCAGAAGAUGUGUGAAGAGGAGAAUCGAUUUUCCAUAAUGAGAUGUCAGAAACACUGCUUGCUAAGUCAGCCUGAAACCAAAGAAGAAGAAUGGCAUUCAGUGAUAAGAACUGUUCAUGAGCCUGAAUUCCAUGGCUGCUCCUGCACAAACCACCGGACACAGAUCCGGGGAAAGGCAACAAAGUUGCCUCUACUUUGUGAGUGGCUAGAAGUUACUGGACAUCUGGGAGCCCUGGUGCCUUGACUGUAAAAUGGAGACAACAACUCCUCUCAUGGUUGUUAUGACAAGGAAAUGAGAGAUACAUAUCAAGUGCCUAACAUAGAGCUGGCUCCUAUGAACCAGAACUUAUUAAGCAAUUGUAGAAGGCAAGAUUUAAAGCACAGACUUUGGAGCAGUCCUUGGGUUCCAAUCCUGGCUGCAUCGUUUAUCAUCUCUGAGCCUCAGUUUCCACAUCUGUAACAAAAGCUUUCAUUUUACAGAUGUAAAAGCAGUGUGUACCUCCAAGGGGUGGUUGUGAGGAUUAAUCAAGUUAAUACACAUGGCAUUCUCAGAUCAGUGCCUUGCACGGCAAUUUACUCAAUAAAUGUUAG